AUUGAACGUUGGCGGCAGGCUUAACACAUGCAAGUCGAGCGGGGGAAGGUAGCUUGCUACCGGACCUAGCGGCGGACGGGUGAGUAAUGCUUAGGAAUCUGCCUAUUAGUGGGGGACAACAUCUCGAAAGGGAUGCUAAUACCGCAUACGUCCUACGGGAGAAAGCAGGGGAUCUUCGGACCUCGCGCUAAUAGAUGAGCCUAAGUCGGAUUAGCGAGUUGGUGGGGUAAAGGCCUACCAAGGCGACGAUCUGUAGCGGGUCUGAGAGGAUGAUCCGCCGCACUGGGACUGAGACACGGCCCAGACUCCUACGGGAGGCAGCAGUGGGGAAUAUUGGACAAUGGGGGGAACCCUGAUCCAGCCAUGCCGCGUGUGUGAAGAAGGCCUUAUGGUUGUAAAGCACUUUAAGCGAGGAGGAGGCUACUCUAGUUAAUACCUAGGGAUAGUGGACGUUACUCGCAGAAUAAGCACCGGCUAACUCUGUGCCAGCCGCCGCGGUAA
rnacentral:rRNA from 1 species